rnacentral:lncRNA from 1 species
UCUCUCUGUCCCUCUCUGUGUAAACCUGGCCCCUACGUCUCUCUGUCCCUCUCUGUGUAGGUGUGAAGCCCUCUGAGCCAGGGAAGAGGUCCAGGUGGGAUGUGUCUGGCCAGGCUGGGGACGAGGACAGGAAGGAGAAGGAUCCAAUCAGUGAUUUCCUCAGUGUGGCUCGUAUUGAAGCCUCUGGGUCAGGACCGGACACCUCUACUACUGAUGGCCCUACAACGGAUCCUACUGUAGAGCCGGACACGGAGCAGAAAGACGAGAAGGACGAGGAGGAGGAGGAAGAGGAGAGCAGGCCGUCUAUGGAUCUGUUCAAAGCCAUCUUCGCCUGUUCAUCAGACGAGAAGUCUUCCUCUUCUUCAGAAGGAGAGAGUGAGGAGGAGGAGGAGGAGGAAGGUGUUCGGAGCAAGGCUGGGACCGGGCCUCAGAUAUCUAACCAGCUGAACGUCAACACAACCCGACCUGCUCUUCCUGUGUCGGCGACACCCAGCCAGCACCCAG